rnacentral:rRNA from 1 species
CAGCAGCCGCGGUAAUACGAAGGUCCCGAGCGUUAUUCGGAAUCACUGGGCGUAAAGAGUACGUAGGCGGUUUGGUAAGUCAGGUGUGAAAUCCCGGAGCUCAACUCCGGAACUGCAUCCGAUACUGCCAGACUUGAGUAAUGGAGAGGCAGGUGGAAUUCUCGGUGUAGCAGUGAAAUGCGUGGAUAUCGAGAGGAAGACCAAUGGCGAAGGCAGCCUGCUGGACAUUUACUGACGCUGAGGUACGAAGGCCAGGGUAGCGAAAGGGAUUAGAUACCCCUGUAGUCCUGGCAGUAAACGGUGCGCGCUUGGUGUAGGAGGACUCGACCCCUUCUGUGCCGGAGCUAACGCGUUAAGCGCGCCGCCUGGGGAGUACGGUCGCAAGACUAAAACUCAAAGAGAUUGACGGGGACCCGCACAAGCGGUGGAGUAUGUGGCUUAAUUCGAUGCAACGCGAAGCACCUUACCUAGGCUUGACAUGUAUUGCUAAGCACGUGAAAGCGUGUGACCCUUCGGGGACCUUACACAGGUGCUGCAUGGCCGUCGUCAGCUCGUGUCGUGAGAUGUUGGGUUAAGUCCAGCAACGAGCGCAACCCCUGUGUAUAGUUGCCAGCACGUAAUGGUGGGGACUCUAUUCAGACUGCCCGGGUCAACCGGGAGGAAGGUGGGGAUGACGUCAGGUCAGUAUGGCCCUUACGCCUAGGGCUGCACACGUAAUACCAUGCCCAGUACAAUGAGAACCGAUCCCGCGAGGAGGAGGAAAUCUAAAAAACUGGGCCCAGUUCGGAUUGGAGGCUGCAACUCGCCUCCAUGAAGUUGGAAUCGCUAGUAAUGGCACAUCAGCUACGGUGCCGUGAAUACGUUCCCGGGUCUUGUACACACCGCCCGUCACAUCAUGGAAGCCGAUCGCACCCGAAGUAUAUGCGCUAACUAUUUAUAGUAGCAAGGUCCUAAGGUGUAGUUGGUAACUGGGAUGAAGUCGUAACAAGGUAACCGUA